UAAGGGUGGUGAGAUGCUUCAGUUGAGAAAGGGGGGAUUGCACUGUUUUGGACGGCGUGGGCUAUUAACUAGCGCCGGACUGGGUUACAUGUAAGGAGUGCCUGGGUUGGCCAGUGCGAGUGGGCUGGGGAUAGUGGACUGAAAUAUGAGGCAAACAAAGAUCACCCUGUUAGCCAGUGUGGAGGGCAGGCUUGAGUAAUGGGAUGGGCCAGCAUCAUAGUACGGAUGGCUACCUAUGUCAUAGUGUCGGUGCAUGGAGAAGGUGGGAACUCCCUACCAGUAUGAUGCCUAGGACUAUGCUGAACAAUGUGCUAGACAAGAAUGGACUUUUGGGGGACACAAUAUCAAGUGGUUUGCCUGGGGAAUCUCUAAGGGGAGGAAAAUACAUAUUCCUCACCCCCUCAGUUAUGCAAAAUCCCAGCCUUUUGAAGCUAUACCCUGAAGAGGUCUGAUUAGCUGAUCCCACAGUCUCAAGAUCCAAUGCCCAAGCUGUAUAAAGGAAAGACUAACCUAUACAGAGUUUGUUAGUUCUGAGCUACACUAUUCUGAACUUGUAACCACAGAAAAAACCCUUGGUGGGGUUUGAAGGAGUGACUUCUAUCAGAACCCGUGCUGGAGUUGAGGGCUAAUCUCUGGUGAAUUCUCCCACCCACCCCUGUUGCAUCAAAGAAAACCUGUAGGAGUGAGGUCAGGACCUUCCUUCUGGCCCUUUCUAGCCUGGGGAGGGGGAUGAAGAGCCUCCCUGGGUAUCCUCCAAUCCAUGCAGCACUAAUACAAAGGAAGCAGCCUUUGGACUUCAGGAGGGGUCCUGACCUGAGAAUUUGGUCAGCCCUGUUGCUCCAAACAAGA